GUUGGGCAAGUGAUGAAUCUCCUAUUUAAUGGGUAAUUUGCGUCUGAAAUUGUAUUGAUGCAUAUCAUUUUGGAGACCUGAUGCCUAUC